rnacentral:rRNA from 1 species
GACGGGGGGGGCAAGUGUUCUUCGGAAUGACUGGGCGUAAAGGGCACGUAGGCGGUGAAUCGGGUUGAAAGUGAAAGUCGCCAAAAAGUGGCGGAAUGCUCUCGAAACCAAUUCACUUGAGUGAGACAGAGGAGAGUGGAAUUUCGUGUGUAGGGGUGAAAUCCGUAAAUAUACGAAGGAACGCCAAAAGCGAAGGCGGCUCUCUGGACCGAUACUGACGCUGAGGCGCGAAAGCGUGGGGAGCAAACAGG